rnacentral:rRNA from 1 species
UAAAUUACUUGUUAAGAAAUAAUAUGUAUAUAAGUUAAGUGAUAAAAAUAAUUUUAAAAAAAAAAUUUUAGUAUUUUUUAAAGAAAGAAUAUAAUAACAAUAGUUCAUUAGUAUUGUAAGAGAAAGUUUAAUGUGUAUAUAUUAUAAUUUAAAGUAAAUUUUAAGAUUUGUACCUUGUGUAUUAGGGAUAUAUACAUAUAUUUUCAAAUUUUAAUCAUCCAUAAUACAGAAGGUACAAAUCUUAAUAUUUACUUUAAAAUAGUUUAUCAAAAACAUGUCUGUUUGAUGUUAUAAAUGGUCUAACCUGCCCACUGAAAAAGUUUAAAGGGCCGCGGUAUUUUAACCGUGCAAAGGUAGCAUAAUAAUUAGUCUUUUAAUUGGAGGCUUGAAUGAAUGGUUGAACAAAUAAAUGAUUGUCUCUUUUUUAAAAUUUGAAUUUAACUUUUAAGUGAGAAGGCUUAAAUAAUUCAAGGGGACGAUAAGACCCUAUAAAUCUUUAUAUAAAUAUUUAUUUUUAAUUGAUAAUUAGUGUUUAAUAAUUUUAAAUAAAUAAUAUAUUGUAUUGGGGUGAUAAAAGUAUAAAUAGUGUAACUGCUUAUAUUUAAAUACUUAUAAUGUUUGUUUAUUUUUAAUGAUCCUUUUUAAGAUUUUAAGAUUAAGUUACUUUAGGGAUAACAGCGUUAUUUUUUUUAAGAGUUCUUAUCGAAAAAAAAGUUUGCGACCUCGAUGUUGAAUUAAAAUUUCUUUAUAAUGUAGCCGUUAUAGAAGAAGGUCUGUUCGACCUUUAAUAUUUUACAUGAUUUGAGUUCAGACCGGCGUAAGCCAGGUUGGUUUCUAUCUCUUGAUUUUUAUAAAUCUAUUUUAGUACGAAAGGAUUGAAUAGUUUAAAUAAUUUUUAUAGUUAGAUUGUUUU